CUUGUACUCCCUCCGUCCAAAAAUACUUGUCAUUGAAAUGGAUUUAUUUAGAUGUAUUUUAGUUCUAGACACAUCCAUUUUUAUGACAAGUAAUUCCGGACGGAGGGAGUACUUG
rfam:Triticum urartu cultivar G1812 contig4940, whole genome shotgun sequence.